rnacentral:rRNA from 1 species
GACGAACGCUGGCGGCGUGCUUAACACAUGCCAGUCGAACGGAAAGGCCCUUCCGUGGGGGGAUGCUCGAGUGACGAACGGGUGAGUAGCGCGUGAGUAACCUGCCCUUGAGGGUUGAAUAACUGCAGGUAACGGGAGCUAAUACCGUGUAGUAGUGCCGCCUGCAGGGGGUGGGUUGGAAAGGUUGGGCGGUUGGGGAUGGACUCGCUGCUUGUCAGCUUGUGGGGGGGGGAGUGGCUUAACAAGGCUUUGACGGGUGGCCGGCCUGAGAGGGUGACCGGCCACAUGGGGACUGAGAUGCGGCAGAGACUCAUACGGGGGGGAGCAGUGGGGAAUAUUGCAAAAGGGGCGAACGUGUGAUGCAGCAGCGCCGCGUGCGAGAUGACGGCCCUCGGGUUGUACACCGCUCUCGACUGUGACGACGCGUGAGUGACGGUACUGGGUAAAGAAGCCCCGGCAACCUCCGU